AGAGUUGUGGCUCAGUGGUACAGUGCUUGCCUAGCAUGCAUGAGUCACUUGGUUUGAACCCAGGCAUCACAU
rnacentral:tRNA from 1 species